GACGAACGCUGGCGGCGUGCUUAACACAUGCAAGUCGAACGGAAAGGCCCUGCUUUUGUGGGGUGCUCGAGUGGCGAACGGGUGAGUAACACGUGAGUAACCUGCCCUUGACUUUGGGAUAACUUCAGGAAACUGGGGCUAAUACCGGAUAGGAGCUCCUGCUGCAUGGUGGUGGUUGGAAAGUUUCGGCGGUUGGGGAUGGACUCGCGGCUUAUCAGCUUGUUGGUGGGGUAGUGGCUUACCAAGGCUUUGACGGGUAGCCGGCCUGAGAGGGUGACCGGCCACAUUGGGACUGAGAUACGGCGCAGACUCCUACGGGAGGCAGCAGUGGGGAAUAUUGCACAAUGGGCGGAAGCCUGAUGCAGCAACGCCGCGUGCGGGAUGACGGCCUUCGGGUUGUAAACCGCUUUCGCCUGUGACGAAGCGUGAGUGACGGUAAUGGGUAAAGAAGCACCGGCUAACUACGUG
rnacentral:rRNA from 1 species